AUAUUGCUGCGAGCAGACGUCGUCGUGCGCACGUGCCGCAGGUAAACAGACGCCCUAGAUUUCCCCUCCAGACGUCGAGCUUUUAAAAGCUCACGCUCCCUUGGCGCUUUCAAUACUAAUAAUACAUUUCGAUUGUAAUUUUUUAUUUUCAACUGCCGACCAUCACGAACUGAGGCCUUCAAAGGACUUAUCUCCUGUGGUGAAUAUCAGUUCCAGACUAUAUUGGCAAUUUGCAUGUUGCUCUGCGCUAGUCUAAGACUAGAUGGACCAUCAGGAGACGUAAGCAGAUAUGUACAGCCCAAAUUGGCGCGCACUGUAUUCCUAACGAACUGGUACCCGG